rnacentral:rRNA from 1 species
UUGGAGGGCAAGUCUGGUGCCUGCAGCCGCGGUAAUUUCAGCUCCAAUAGCGUAUAUUAAAGUUGUUGCAGUUAAAAAGCUCGUAGUUGAAUUUCGGGAUCAGCAGGUUGGUCGUGCCACUGGUAUGCACUGGCUUUGCUGGUUCCUCCUUUCUGAAGAACUGUAAUGCCAUUAAUUUGGUGUUGCAGGGAAACAGGACUGUUACUUUGAAAAAUUAGAGUGUUUAAAGCAGGCUAACGCUUGAAUACAUUAGCAUGGAAUAAUGAAAUAGGACGUUCGAUCCUAUUUUGUUGGUUUCUAGGAUUGACGUAAUGAUUAAUAGGGAUAGUUGGGGGCAUUAGUAUUCAAUUGUCAGAGGUGAAAUUCUUGGAUUUAUUGAAGACUAACUACUGCGAAAGCAUUUGCCAAGGAUGUUUUCAUUAAUCAAGAACGAAAGUUAGGGGAUCGAAGACGAUCAGAUACCGUCGUAGUCUUAACCAUAAACUAUGCCGACUAGGGAUCGGAUGAUGUUAAUUUUUUAAUGACUCAUUCGGCGCCUUACGGGAAAC